rnacentral:rRNA from 1 species
AUUGAACGCUGGCGGAAUGCUUUACACAUGCAAGUCGAGCGGCAGCGCGGGGGCAACCCUGGCGGCGAGCGGCGAACGGGUGAGUAAUACAUCGGAACGUGUCCUUGAGUGGGGGAUAGCUCGGCGAAAGCCGGAUUAAUACCGCAUAAGCUCUGCGGAGGAAAGCGGGGGACUGGUAACGGCCUCGCGCUGUUGGAGCGGCCGAUGUCGGAUUAGCUAGUUGGUGGGGUAAAGCCCACCAAGGCGACGAUCCGUAGCUGGUCUGAGAGGAUGAUCAGCCACACUGGAACUGAGACACGGUCCAGACUCCUACGGGAGGCAGCAGUGGGGAAUUUUGGACAAUGGGGGCAACCCUGAUCCAGCCAUUCCGCGUGAGUGAAGAAGGCCU